CAGUAGCCGCGGGAAUACGUAGGGUGCGAGCGUUAAUCGGAAUUACUGGGCGUAAAGCGUGCGCAGGCGGUUGUGUAAGACAGGUGUGAAAUCCCCGGGCUUAACCUGGGAGCUGCGCUUGUGACUGCACAGCUAGAGUAUGGCAGAGGGGGGUGGAAUUCCACGUGUAGCAGUGAAAUGCGUAGAGAUGUGGAGGAACACCGAUGGCGAAGGCAGCCCCCUGGGCCAAUACUGACGCUCAUGCACGAAAGCGUGGGGAGCAAACAGGAUUAGAUACCCCUGUAGUCCCUGUCUCUUAUAC
rnacentral:rRNA from 1 species